AGGAGUUACUGUUGGCUGGCUUGUGGGUUUUUUGACUCACUACAUUUUUUUAGACAAAAUCACAAUGUGAAGGCACAUUAAUAGUUGAGAUUUUCUUUUCCUUCCAGGUGGACUUGCUGACUGAUUAGUUUCAUAUACUACUUAGUAACCUCAAGAAGUAGCAGGAGGAUGCCAUGUAUCAAUCUUGAACUUCAAGUCUCACUGCAACAAGGAUGGAGACUCCAGCAGAGUGCAGGGUGGGCACAGACAGGCCACAAGAUGGCGCAGCACCUCCAUACUUGGGCUCUUGACAACCAAGUACUGCUGAAGUUGUAGCAGGAACUACUAGUCCUUCACUGAGGCAUGUAGCCGCCUUGCCGUACAGUCUGUG
rnacentral:lncRNA from 1 species